UCUGGACACUGUGGGGCACCUGUGGUGUGCCAGGCAGACUGCGAGGCACUGAGGAAUAGAAGUGAGAUGGGACAUAUAAUCCCCAUGUUCACAGAGCAACUGGCAGCCCAGUGGAAGAGACGGCGAUAUGGAUCAACACAGCAUAGAAGAAAGAGUUCUGGGGGAGCUCCAGGCUACCAGGAGAACUCAAGCUGAGAAGAGGCACUCUCUAUUUGCUGUGCAACCGAGAGACACGGCGAUGAGAGGCGCCCACGCUUCCACCAGAAAAUGUACAAGACAUCUUGAAAGCCAAUGAAUGGACUUCUAAAACCUAGGAGGCAAAGUGUAUUCUAGAGAAGAGCGACACCAGUUUUCCAACCAGACAGAGCAAGCGAGACCUCUGACAAGUUGUGUGACCUCAGGCAACUUCCCUGAGCUUUCUGAACUUCCGGUUCUUCAUCUGUAGAAUGGGGAUACAUGUGGUGCCUUGCAGAGCCUGCUGUGGGAUCAAGUAAGUGUGUUAAAAUAUUUAAAAAUGGCAGGUCCCUAACUGGGGAUAAGUAACUGAGAGUCUGUCCUGUAUUCUAACUUUUCGUUAAAGGUCAAGGAGCCUGGAUGUGGAGGAGACUGCCGUCAGAACCGGCUCCUCAGGCAGUGACAGCUACUCCUGAGCUGUCAGCCCAGGAGCAGGAGCGAUUACUUGAGCUAUUCAUUAGCAUAAACAUUUCACAACAAUGUCAUUUUAAUCCUCCCCAAAGAGCACCUGUUAUCUGUCCCACAAAUUGGACCCUCCACAGCAUAAAUCAAGAACACUUCCCAUGUGUUUUAAAUGAAGAAGUGCCUUUCCCCCCAAUAAGGCAAAUAUUAAACAAAGACAAAGCAAAAAAACCCAGACAGAGAACAGAAACACCCCACACUGUGACUUUAAUAGCUGAUCAACUGCAGAUCAAGAGCUUUAAUUUCUCCUUGACUCUGGGUUCACAGGAGACACUGAGUCCCCACUCUCUUAGAGAUGAUUGCUUUGGUGAAAAAACAAAGGCUCUCUUCAUCAGACCUUGGCCAGUCCACACCCACAAACUUGGGAGUCUCUCCCAGAGAAAUAUCCAGAUUGUGAAGCAUGCCACCACACGGCUAGAUGACCCCACAUACCAGAGCUGCACAGAGCCCAUCACCCCAACCCAUGGCCAAGUUGCACUGAGCAAAACAUGAUUCUGUUUCCCUGAGUAGACUGUGAGUUAUUCAAGGGCACAAGGCAUGCCCUGUCCAUUCCAGGAUCCAGGUCCAGCCCAGGUACUCAGUACAAUUAGCUGAAUUAAUACCCUUGGCAAACAAGAGGUGGUAAGGGUACACUCUUCCUUUCCUGCAGGCUUGGCAUUCACCAUGCAGUUUCCUCUGCUGACCAUUACAUGAAGAUCACAAACUUGUAACUCUACCAGACCCAGAUAACGGCCACCUUCUCUUUGAGUCCGCCUCUGGUAUUUUGAAGGAAGACAAGAUAAUUUAUUAUAAUCCACACUUCUUCCAGUUCCACCUAGAACUUUUUCUACAUCACAUGCAUGGCCCAUUUUAUAUGACAGCAUCUGUGCUCUCAGCUGAUGACAAUGCAGACACUGGGGUUGUGUAUGACUGGGAGAGGAUGGGGACAUAGAGAUAUCAUGUCCUUCGGAGCCAAACAGGUGAGAUUUGAAUCAGGCUCUGCCAGAUAAUAGCUGAAUGGCCUUUAGUAAGUGACUUAGCUUCUCCAUAAAAUUCUAUGCUAUAAUACUAUGUAUUUCACGUGUGUGUACUAAGUCGCUUCGGUCCUGUCUGACUCUGUGCAACUCCUUGGACUGUGGCCUGCCAGUCUCCUCUGCCUAUGGGAUUCUCCAGCAAGAAUACUGGAGUGGGUUACCAUUUCCUUCUCCAAAGGCUGCUGCUAAGUCACUUCAGUCGUGUCCGACUCUGUGCGACCCCAUAGACGGCAGCCCAUCAGGCUUCUCCGAAGGCAGCCACCUGCAAAUCAAAGACAGAGGCCUCAGAAGCCACCCCAGCUUGAUCCCACACUUCCAGUCCCCAGAACUGCGAGAAAAUCAAUAUGUAUUGUUUAAGUCACCCAGUCUGUGAUUGCAGCCCCAGUGGACUAACGCAAUGGUCCACGGUUCCAUCUGACAUGGCGUCAGGGAACCACUGAGCGAAGCCUCCUGCCGUGGCCAGGCCCGCUUGCCUGAGCUGUCUCACAAC